UACGUAGGUGGCAAGCGUUGUCCGGAUUUACUGGGUGUAAAGGGUGCUCAGGUGGUUGCGCAAGUCAGAGGUGAAAUCCUAGAGCUUAACUCUGGAACUGCCUUUGAUACUGCACGGCUUGUGUACGGAAGAGGCUGAUGGAAUUCCUGGUGUAGCAGUGAAAUGCGUAGAUAUCAGGAAGAACACCAGUGGCGAAGGCGGUCAGCUGGUCCGUUACAGACACUAAAGCACGAAAGCGUGGGGAGCAAACAGG
rnacentral:rRNA from 1 species